CAGCGAAAUCGUUCUGUCGCUCUCAAAGACUUCGGUCAAUGAGGGAGGAAAGUCCGGACAGCAUAGAGCACUGCACCUUGAGAAACUGAGGGUGUCGGUUGAGGAAUCUCCGAUAUCAGAAAGUGCCACAGAAAAUAAACAGCCUAUGUUUUGGUUUCGACCAAAGCAGGUGAUGGUGAAAACGUGAGGUAAGAGCUCACGCACUUUGCUGGCAACAGCACUUUGGGUAAACCUUGCAGGCUGCAAGACCAUGUAAACCUAGGCUUGAGAGCUGCUCGCUCGAUCUGGGAGGGUAGGUCGCAUAGAUAAAUGGCAGAACAUCAUCUUAGGAUGAGGACAGAAUCCGGCUUAUAGAUUUCAUCAGGCU
rnacentral:RNase_P_RNA from 2 species